rnacentral:rRNA from 1 species
UACGGAGGGUGCGAGCGUUGUCCGGAAUCACUGGGCGUAAAGGGCGCGUAGGCGGCAGGCCAAGCGUGCGGUGAAAGUCCGGGGCUCAACCCCGGAUCUGCCGUGCGGACUGGUUUGCUAGAGCACUGUAGAGGCGAGUGGAAUUCCGGGUGUAGCGGUGGAAUGCGUAGAGAUCCGGAAGAACACCGGUGGCGAAGGCGGCUCGCUGGGCAGUGGCUGACGCUGAGGAGCGAAAGCGUGGGGAGCAAACAGG